AUCUUUCUAGUAUAAGAUUAGGUACAAGUGACUUCCAUCACACAGUCUUGGUUAAACCCCAAGGAAAGAUA
rnacentral:tRNA from 1 species